UACGGGGGGGGCAAGCGUUGUUCGGAAUUACUGGGCGUAAAGGGCUCGUAGGCGGCCAACUAAGUCGGACGUGAAAUCCCUCGGCUCAACCGGGGCACUGCGUCUGAGACUGAAUGGCUUGAAUCCGGGAGAGGGAUGCGGAAUUCCAGGUGUAGCGGUGAAAUGCGUAGAUAUCAGGAGGAACACCUGCGGUGUAGACGGCUUACUGGACCAUAACUGACGCUGAGGCACGAAAGCGUGGGUAGCAAACAGG
rnacentral:rRNA from 1 species